GACGGUAACCUACCCCAGGGCUGGCCAUAGCCGCGGGAAACCGCGGGUAAUAGUCAGCGACGUGGCCGGGGGGCAUCUCCUGGCCACCAAAGGUGUGAUUCCGCCCUGGGACGGGCCGUCGUGGUAUUAGGUAGUUGGCGGGGUAACGGCCCACCAAGCCUGUGAUGCCUACCGGGCGUGCGAGCGUGGCCCGGCACACUGGGACUGAGACACUGCCCAGACUCCUACGGGAGGCUGCAGUCGAGAAUCUUCGGCAAUGGGCGCAAGCCUGACCGAGCGACGCCGCGUGGAGGACGAAGGCCUUCGGGUUGUAAACUCCUGUCGAGGGGAAGGAAGGGCCGCUGCAGAGGCGGUCUUGACCGAUCCCUGGAGGAAGCACGGGCUAAGUUCGUGCCAGCAGCCGCGGUAAGACGAACCGUGCGAACGUUAUUCGGAAUCACUGGGCUUAAAGCGCGUGUAGGCGGGCCAGCACGUCGGGCGCUGAAAUCCCCCGGCUCAACCGGGGAGCGGGCACCGAUACGACUGGCCUG
rnacentral:rRNA from 1 species